CCUACGGGUGGCAGCAGUGAGGAAUAUUGGUCAAUGGACGAGAGUCUGAACCAGCCAAGUAGCGUGAAGGAUGACUGCCCUAUGGGUUGUAAACUUCUUUUCUCUGGGAAUAAAACGUUCCACGUGUGGGGUUUUGUAUGUACCAUAUGAAUAAGCAUCGGCUAACUCCGUGCCAGCAGCCGCGGUAAUACGGAGGAUCCGAGCGUUAUCCGGAUUUAUUGGGUUUAAAGGGUGCGUAGGUGGGUUGUUAAGUCAGUUGUGAAAGUUUGCGGCUCAACCGUUAAAUUGCAGUUGAAACUGGCAGUCUUGAGUACAGUAGAGGUGGGCGGAAGUCGUGGUGUAGCGGUGAAAUGCUUAGAUAUCACGAAGAACUCCGAUUGCGAAGGCAGUUCACUGGACUGCAACUGACGCUGAGGCGCGAAAGUGUGGGUAUCAAACAGGAUUAGAUACCCGGGUAGUC
rnacentral:rRNA from 1 species